AUAUACCCUAACAACACACAACAUUCCAGGAAUGUACUACCAAAGUUCUAUCAAUAUUUGAAUGUCCUGGACAUUUAGGGAACAUUCGGUGAACAUCUGAUUAAAUUAUUCGUGGAAUGUUACCAUAAGACAUUCUGUGAACAUACUACCAAUGUUCCUAUAUGUUCAUUUUCAAAUUCACGGCGCAUGUAUUUGUGCAUGGUGCUUAGAGAGGGCAUCACGUGACUAAAAACGACCAAUGACCUCACUUCAGACUUCGGUGCUUCGGCCAUCUUGACAUGCAUCUUGGCCUUGGCCACCUUGCCGUGCGUGAUCGUUGUUUGUUUUUAUUUGUGCUUUUUAAGAAUAUUUUUUAAUUCGGAUACUUUUAUAAUAACUUUAAUAGUAUUAUUAAUAUAGUGCAUAAAAUCAGUUGGAGUAGCAGAAGCAAUGUAGAUAAAAAAUCUGCAGGAAUAAUGUUUCAAAGCUUUCCAGAAGAUCCUGCAAAGAAGGCAUGAAGUAUUGAUCAGAUUUGUUAAUAGAGCAGUAUGUUCAAAACAUUUUUUAGAAAAAGAUAUUGACAGAACUUCACUUUCAACCGUUUGAGAGACUGUGCUGUUCCAAUAGCUUAUAUCACACAGAAUCAGCUGAGAGAAGUGGUCUACAAAAAACCAGGAAGGAAAUGGAAUAUGUGGCUAUGAAAGGCAAAAGAAAGGUUUACAAAGCAAAUGUGACACAUUUUUUUAUAGGAAUAUCAGUAAAUUACAUUAAAAAAAUGUAUGAAAAGAUUUUUUGCAAUAAAAAUGUUUAUAUUUAUCAAGGAUGCAUUAUUUGGUAUGGCCACAUAUCGUCAGUGAUGUGAC